UGGGGAAUAUUGCGCAAUGGGGGGAACCCUGACGCAGCCAUGCCGCGUGAAUGAAGAAGGCCUUAGGGUUGUAAAGUUCUUUCGGUAUUGAGGAAGGUUGAUGUGUUAAUAGCACAUCAAAUUGACGUUAAAUACAGAAGAAGCACCGGCUAACUCCGUGCCAGCAGCCGCGGUAAUACGGAGGGUGCGAGCGUUAAUCGGAAUAACUGGGCGUAAAGGGCACGCAGGCGGUUAUUUAAGUGAGGUGUGAAAGCCCUGGGCUUAACCUAGGAAUUGCAUUUCAGACUGGGUAACUAGAGUACUUUAGGGAGGGGUAGAAUUCCACGUGUAGCGGUGAAAUGCGUAGAGAUGUGGAGGAAUACCGAAGGCGAAGGCAGCCCCUUGGGAAUGUACUGACGCUCAUGUGCGAAAGCGUGGGGAACAAACAGGAUUAGAUACCCUGGUAGUCCACGCUGUAAACGCUGUCGAUUUGGGGGUUGGGGUUUAACUCUGGCGCCCGUAGCUAACGUGAUAAAUCGACCGCCUGGGGAGUACGGCCGCAAGGUUA
rnacentral:rRNA from 1 species